UUGCAGAGAAGCUUGCUUCUCUUGAGAGCGGCGGACGGGUGAGUAAAGCCUAGGAAUCUGCCUGGUAGUGGGGGAUAACGUUCGGAAACGGACGCUAAUACCGCAUACGUCCUACGGGAGAAAGCAGGGGACCUUCGGGCCUUGCGCUAUCAGAUGAGCCUAGGUCGGAUUAGCUAGUUGGUGAGGUAAUGGCUCACCAAGGCGACGAUCCGUAACUGGUCUGAGAGGAUGAUCAGUCACACUGGAACUGAGACACGGUCCAGACUCCUACGGGAGGCAGCAGUGGGGAAUAUUGGACAAUGGGCGAAAGCCUGAUCCAGCCAUGCCGCGUGUGUGAAGAAGGUCUUCGGAUUGUAAAGCAC
rnacentral:rRNA from 1 species